GCGGGAGAGCUCAGUCUGGUUAGACUACUCGUAGGAUCAAAGCACUACAUUGGUAAUGUAGGGGUCGCGGGUUCAAGUCCCGCCCGAGGCU
rnacentral:tRNA from 1 species